rnacentral:rRNA from 1 species
AUUGGACGCUGGCGGCAUGCCUAACACGUGCAAGUCGAACGGCAGCACAGUAAAGACUUCGGUCUUUAUGGGUGGCGAGUGGCGGACGGGCGAGUAACGCGUAGGACUCUGUCCUGCAGGGUGGGAUCACCCGAGGACACUCGGGCUAAUACCGUAUGAUAUCGAGAGAUCAAGAUCAGGGGACCCUUCGGGGCCUCUCGCUCUAGGAUGAGCCUACGGCGGAUUAGCUAGUUGGUGGGGUGAAGGCCUACCAAGGCGACGACCCGUAACUGGUCUGAGACGAUGACCAGCCACACUGGGACUGAGACACGGCCCAGACUCCUACGGGAGGCAGCAGUGGGGAAUCUUGGACAAUGGGGGAAACCCUGUUCCAGCGAUGCCGCGUGUGUGAAAAAGGCCUUCGGGUUGGAAAGCACUUUAGUUGGGGAAGAAAAGUAAUAAGUAAAUAAUUUAUUGCGCUGACGGUACCCAAAGAAUAAGCACCGGCUAACUCUGUGCCAGCCGCCGCGGUAA